UUAUCCUUUGCAGACGACU
rnacentral:rRNA from 1 species